CAAACGCGUGUACCGCCGUGUGGAGACAUGGCUGCGAGGGUAGUUUUUAAGUGACGUAAACUGAAGAUGAUUUGAGAAUUGACAGAGAUCUUGAUUGAGUAAAGAAAUUACUCCUGCCAACUAAACAGAACAUUCUUAAGAGUCGAGAGGGGAAGGGUUUUGCCAGGAACGCUAAAGAAGUAAAGUUGGGAAACAGCAACUAAUAAUAUCGAGACGGUAACUGCGAGCGUUGAACCAGCUCGUAAGGUUCACUCAGGCCACCCGACAGACACUCUCUGCUGGCCUAGCCCUAACUCGGAAGGAGAAUUAUGGCCAAAUAUCAGAGCCAAACGCCGGGCCAGUUUAAGUACGCAUUAUUAACGCUAGUUGUCUGUCUGAUUUGUUACAGGACAUCAGCCACAACGCCGAACGAAUUAGCAUGUUCAUAUGUUAAAUACGCGUAUUCUGAAAAGGGCUUCAGUGAUGAUGAUGUACCUGGUGAAGCGAUUCCAGGUGACCAUUUACGGAUAUGUGACCGUAGUUACACGUGUUGUACUGAAGAAAUGGAGCACAAACUAAGUACACACAGCCGAGUUGAGUUCGACAAACUUCUGAAGGACGGUAUCGGUUCAUUAAAAAACAAGUUUGCUUCUAAGACAUCGAAAUUUGACAAAUUCUUUCAAGAAAUGUUGGACAAGUCUCAGAAGGAAUUCCACGAGAUGUUUCUUCGAACAUACGGUAUGUUGUACGACAGGAAUUCAUACAUCUUCAAGAGUAUGUUCCAGGAUCUCAGGAGUUAUUAUAAUUCAGGAGGAAUCGACCUGUCCAAAGCACUUGGCGCGUUCUUUGAUACGCUCUACAGGAAAAUGUUUGAGGUUUUGAAUAAUCAGUACACCUUCAGCGACAGUUACCUUGCCUGUAUCAGUGAUCACAUGGAAGAACUGAAACCUUUUGGCGACGUUCCAAGGAAACUAACGUUAGAAUUAAAACGAUCUUUCAUCGCAACUCGAACUUUUGUGCAAGCUCUGGCAGUGGGCAGAGAUGUCGUCCGAGAAAUCAUGGAGGUUGGACCAAGCCCCGAGUGUAGUCGUGCACUGAUGAAGAUGUCCUACUGUCCUCAUUGCAAGGGUCUUCCAGAUCUUAAACCGUGUGCCAACUAUUGUUUGAAUGUCAUGAAAGGUUGCCUGGCUCACCAUGCUGAACUUGAUCCUGAAUGGAAUGCUUACAUAGAGUCUCUCUUGAUGCUGGCUUCCCGACUAGAAAGCUCGUUUAACAUUGAAGCUGUAGUCGAUCCUAUUGAAAUAAGAAUUUCUGAAGCAGUGAUGAACUUUCAGGAGAACGGUCCAGCAGUGUCGAAAAGAUUGUUUGAGAAAUGCGGUAAACCUCGCCUAGGAAAACGAGAAGCUAGGAAGGAGUUAGAGUUCAAGACAUAUACUUUUGGCUCUCGUCAUAACUUCCACAGAGCUACUAAAAGUGGCUUGGAUCGGCUUGUUGAUAAAAUUAAAAAGAAAAUUAGACGAACAAAAGAUUUUUGGUCAAAUCUUCCCAACGAACUGUGUAGUAAUCCGAAAGUUACAGGAGAUCGAAACACCAGGAGUAAUCAAGAAGGCUGUUGGAAUGGGUUAACCAAAGCUAAGUAUGAUGCCAGUCUAGUAGGAAAUGGAUUGGUCAAUCAAAAGGACAACCCAGAGGUCAGUUUAGAUGUAACCACACAAAACAGUGUUAUAGCUCGGCUGAAACUAACAUUACAACUUAUUACUUCAAAAUUAAACAACGCUUACAGAGGAGUUGAUGUGGAGUGGGAAGACACUUCUGAGACGGAGUGGGCAGCCAGUGGCAGUGGCAGUGGAAGUGGCUGGAUGCCGGAAGACACUGAAGAUGAUAGUUCUCCUGACAUUUACUUUAGUUACUCCACUACUAGAGCUCCUGCUGCCCCGAGAUGGCCAGUUGAGUCCACAGAACAACCUUCAGAAAAGCCAUCAGCAGCUCCAGAAAUGUUAUCGUCCAAUCUUUUAGUGAUUUUGUUAGCUAUGUUAAUGUCCAGUGUCAUCUAUUUGUGAAGGUAGAAAUUAUCAGUAGUACUACCAUUUGGAGAUCAAUGCUUGGUAUUUUUCAAACAGUAUAUUUCCUCAAGAGGAGAAAUAACAAACUGACUAUUUGAAAUAGAAGACCACAACUUUUGGACUUGAAGAAAGAAAAUUUAUUAAACAGAUUUUUUACUCAGGAGUUUUUUUGGGAAAGGAUGUUGUUGGAAAAAUUUGGUGAAAAAAAGAUUACUAGUGUUCUCCCUGUAUUUUUACCACAUGUGAAUUUCCCACAAAUAUAAAAAUUACUUAUUUUUAUAAACUCUGCAUUUGAGGAAUUCAAUUGGUAAAACUGAUGGUCAACUUAACUCCAUGAUGUACAUCUCCGGAGCUUUAAGAAUUGAUUUUAAAAACAAAUAUUACAGAAGUCUUAAUAAUAAACAAAAUAAGCUCCGACAAUCAAUCAGGAAAGUUGCACUUUCUCCGUGUAUUGAUUCAUAUAUAUAUAUCAGUUUAUAAUAAAUAUUGGAAAACUUUAAUUUUUAAGCAAAAUCAGGUCCUAAUAAACGUAUUUACAAAACCAUUGUUUGUAACCUAAGAUCCAGUUAAAUUAGGUUACAAAAAUUUAUAAUUAUCUGAUUACUUAAUUAAUUCACUUCCUUUGGGAGUAGAAACUUUUUUUAAUGUAUAGUCAGAUUUUUCUUGUACUUACAGUUAACAUAGCUAUUAUUAUCCUCAUGUAAAAUUAGUAGUGAUACUGUUGUGAUGUGUUGUGUAUUUUCUCUUUGGCUUAGUGAACAGAUGGCAGAGAUAUUAUUAAUUUGUUUUACAUUUCAUAAACUACUUGUAAAUUUUAUUAAUUUAUACUUAGAAUAUAUAAAUGUAUUGAUUAUAUGAGAUUUUCUUUUCACUGUAGUGUUUUACCUGUCUGUAGUACAUUUUAGGACACAAAUAUUCAAAAUAAUCUGAAUAUAUAGCAUUGUCUCCAAUAUUCUGGACAGCUCAAGAAAGACAGUUUUUUUUCUUAAGUGUUACAGUUUAUUAGAAGAUUCAACAUGGCAGCUUCCUAAAUGCUUAAAAAGAAAAAUGAACACACAUUUCGUUAUGUAGUUUAGAGGUGAAUUUUGUAUGAUUUUGUGUAUUCUUAUCUAAACAUUGUUACACACUUCCCUUUGAAACUGAAAAGAAAUUUGAAAUGAUUUUUUUCCAUAUUGCUUUUUAUGCCCAAAUUUUAUAGUGUGAUAUAUUGUCAUCCCUGAUAGAAGUUAAUGUUCAUACAGUUGUUUCCUCAAAAUUCUUUAGUCCCCAGGAAUAUGUUUGGAAAGAAUAACAAUAUCAAUUCCAUCUUUUUCUACACCUUCUAUUUAAUAAUGUUAUUAAUUCCAUCUUUUGCUAUACCUUGUAGUUAGUUACCCAAUUGCUUUGAGUAUUCUUUUCAGAACUAGGAAAAUUUGCCGAUCUUUGAAAUUAAGUGGAGAAACUUAAGAAUAAUGUUGUGUUACAUAGUCAUGUGUUUACAUGUUUUAUAGAUGUGUUUUUUGUUGUGUUACAUAGUCGUGUAGUGAAAAACUAAGUAUACGAGAGUAUUAUGAUUCAUGCUUUCUCAUGUUUAUGAGAUACUUCUCAUACCUUCAGUUGCAAAAGGUAGCUUAACUAUAAACACAACAUGUUAGACCAUAACUGAAAUGUCACCUUUAGCCCCGUAUAUAGUAAAUUACUGUACAUACCAUAUAUGAUAGAUCACAUAAUAGAACAAAGCACACUGUUGUAUCUAUAGCUUAAUGCUGCACUGCAUAAUACCACUUUAGGUAUGUGCAAGUAUUUUACAUAUGUCCAAGCACAUAACACAAUAUUUACACAUUUACAUUAUAUACUUACAUACAAAUCACUACACAUUUAUAUAUACACCACUACACACUUCAACAAGCAAAUUAUUAUCAAAUAUGCCUUUCAUUGGCAGCUUGCACAGAUGCAAAAUAAACACUUGCAAUGCAAUCUACAUCUACGUCACUACAUGUUUGCACAAUUAUAUCCCUUAUUCUGGAUAUUUACAUAAGUACAUUACUAACCGUUUAUAGAUUUUCACACAUUCGUGUGAACAAAUCACUGCCUAUUUAUACUAGCACUGCACUACAGAUGUAUUAUAUAAAUAAUUACUACACAGAAAACUUCUGCAACUGCACAUAGGUAUCUUGUAGAAAACAGCCUUUACUUUCCAUUUGUGUGUAUAUUUUAAGUUAUGCACAUUUAUAAUUUUCUACAUUCUCAUCUAUUUAAUGCAUAGCUACCCAGUUUUAUAACUUUCUUUAUGUAACUCCAAAUAAAGAUUGUUCUAUAAAUAUUAACAUGCUACUUUAAAGUGUUCUUUCACUCACCAUGUUAAGUAAAAUAAAACAUUGGAGACAAGACCUUGUUCUAUAAUUGCAUCAAAUAAUAUAUACAUCACCCACAUUAUGAACCUACAUCUAAAUAUUUUUCAAUUGAGGAGUGAUUACACCAAAGAACAGUACAAUAAAACUUAACACGAUCUUCAAAAAACACGUGAAAAUACAGUGAACAAAACAAAACCAGUGUAGAACAGAGGGAUUUUCUGAAGUGCUAGGACUUUUUGUCCAUCCAUACAAGUACACUUGCUGUAUUUAGUGUAUGCUGUAAAAAAGUAUCUGUGCCAAUAAGAGUAACUCCAUCAGAACUUCCAGUUAUCCAGAGUUCCUUGAAUAAUUUGUGUUUGUGUUAAUGUUUGUAUAUAAAUAUAUACAUAUAUAUCUAUGUAAUGAUUUCAGUAGGAGUUAUAUCCACUUGUGUGCCAUAACUGAACCUCCCCACUUUUAAUCAUGACACUGUUGAGAUCUGGUUACUUGAGGAGAUUCAAAAUGUUUGUUGACCUUUCUUUUUUUUUCAAUAUUUAAGGCUUUUUUUUACUUUUACAUAGCAACUUUUGUUUCUGUCAGUUGCUAUGAAAGUUAAAGUUAUAAAAUUGGAGUUAUUUUAAAGAAAAGCAUAUUUCAACAUUUACAGUAGAGUACGUUUGUUAUAUUUAGCUCUAAAUAAUGGAUUUCUUUGUCAAAAUUCAAUAUGCUUUCUUGAAGAAAUAGUGUAGUAUAAACCUUUUGUUGUGUAAUAAGUUAUAUGUGUAUAAUACAGUAGGUCUUUAACAACUUAAAAAUUGAGAAUGCGAGUUUUAAUGGGCUUAAAAAGAGUUGAAACUCAAUCUAACAAUAAUUAAAGAAAUUACAGUGUUAUAAUUAGUUGGGAAGAGCUGAAACUGAGUAUAAUAUUUAAUUAUGUUUAUUGUGAUUGGUUGAAAAAAAGAGUUCAAACUAAACAUGCAUUUGAUAGUCUUUUGUAAUUUGUUGUGAAAAGCUGAAAAUAAUGCGAGUAAUUGAAAUGGUUUUGUUUGGUUAAGAAAAGCAGAAAUCAAGUCUAAAACUUGAGACUGGUGUUAAUGAUUAGAAAAAGGUAAAACUCCAUAUAAUGAUUUAGCACUAGAAACUACUUAAUGUAAUUGAUUUGGAGGAACUCAAACCGAGUCUUACAAUUGAGAGUGUUUGUUGUAACUUCAUAUGGUUACAUGAGCUGUGACUAUUGGAAGAAGUUGAAUCCGAUAGCCUAUUAAUAUUAUAUACAGCUGAAGGUGUCUAUAAGAAGCUGUUUCUAGAAUUAGCUCGUUUCAUACUAUUAAUAAAGUUACUUCUCUCCAAGACUUUAUUUUUUAUUACUAUUUUAACUGUCUGGGUUAUACGAAAUAAAACUUGUUCAGUUUGAGAGAAAUGUGUUACAUUACUUACCUCGGUGUUUAGUACUACUAUAACAGGAAAAAAAUAAAGACUGUGUACAGUAAUAGGCUUAGUAAGCUGAAAGUUAACGAGCGUGCCAUUGUAAGCAACAUCUUGAUCAGGGUGUGGUUUAUUUUGUUUAAAAUCGUCUCUUGUAUUUUAAUAACAACUCUUGUUGUGACUUUACAGCGAAGUGAAAUAAAAACGUACGAUAUUU
rnacentral:misc_RNA from 1 species